AUUGAACGCUGGCGGCAGGCCUAACACAUGCAAGUCGAACGAGUGGCGGACGGGUGAGUAAUGUCUGGGACACUGCCUGGUUGGGGGGGAUAACUACUGAAAACUGUAGCAAAUACCGCAACCCAUCAUAUGUCCCUAGGUCGGAUUUGCUGGUGGGUGGGGUAACGGCAUACCAAGGCGACGAUCCGUAACUGGUCUGAGGGGAUGAACAGUCACACUGGAACUGAGACACGGUCCAGACUCCUACGGGAGGCAGCAGUGGGGAAUAUUGGACAAUGGGCGAAAGCCUGAUGCAGCCAUGCCGCGGGUAUGAAGAAGGCCUUCGGGUUGUAAAGUACUUUCAGCGGGGAGGCGUUACCCGCAGAAGAAGCACCGGCUAACUCCGUGCCAGCAGCCGCGGUAAUUC
rnacentral:rRNA from 1 species